AGUGCUGCUGGUGGCGGCUGUGGCAACAGCCUGGGGGCGGGUGGCAGUGGCUUUCCCCCUGCUGGCCUCCCGCUGCAUAGCCAGGGCUAGUAUGGGCCCGGUUUGGGCCUCUAAGCAGCCAUGGAGUUCACUAACAUCAAGCUGGUUCGAAAGGCUCGGAGGCCUACUUGUAAAUGGGAAUCCGGGGCCACUGGUGGAGACCGUUCUGGGAGAGGAAGAGACCAAGAGCAUUUAGUCCCAGGCAGGACAAUGGAGUGGGCCUGGCUGUCCCAUCUCUCCACCUCAGGCAGCCUGGUGGACUGGCAGCCGCUGGAGACAAAAGAGGGAAAAUGGGUCAGCUGGAAUUUCUUCUGGAUUUGCAUUGUCAAACUCUGGCAACCAAGCAAGUGGGUCAACUUCCAGGUUUUGGUUGUUUGAAUGGAAUGUAAACCACCCGGAGAUUUCUUAUGGGGCAGUAUAUCAAUGUGACAAACAAACAAACACACAUCAUGUACAAAUGAAGUGUAGCAGUGGGCUAACCAGGACCCCCAGUUGCAAUACCAUCUCCCACCAUCUCUUAUCCUCAGUUUUUAUGCAUUAUUGCAGCUUCAUUUUUAUGUCUAAGGAAAGGAAGCACAGCUAACAACUCCUAGCUCGACUGCACUAAAGUGGCCUCAUUGGAAAAACCUGUCUGUCUUCCUUUGCUGGAUCCACUCAUAACUACAUUCUACAUCCAUAUGUUUAAAGAAUGUUAUAACUGGGAAUAAUCCAGAACCCUGAGCACAUAUUUCCCACGGCGCGUGCUGAGUGUAUGGCCUCAUCGAUGAGAAUGGGGAAAACUGCAAGCUCCAGAUUAUGUCUAUUGAGUCAAAGACAGCUCCUUUUGACUUCUGGGGAAUGAACUCCACAAACAAACCUGUACUGAAGAAAGUCCAAUGGCAUUAAUGGAAUUACUCCCCAGAAGGUGGAUGUCUGCAUAGUCACACAUGAAAAGUUAACAUCCAUAAACAUUUUGAAAUGAUCACUCCCUAUAACUCCUGAGUUCCAAACCAGCCUCAUUCUUUCUUUCUUUCUUCUUUUGAGCUACUCCUAAAUAUGAUUAGAAUGUAAUUUGUUGGGUUUUAUUUUCCACCCACCACCCACACUCAUUUUUAAUCUUCCUUUGGGGAAGCUGCUGUGGGAAUUCAUCAAAUAAAAUGCCUUGCUCAAGGAAAUGGCAAUAACUUAAUAAAAGGAAAAAAUAUGGAAAUGA